UGGGGAAUAUUGCACAAUGGGCGCAAGCCUGAUGCAGCCAUGCCGCGCGUAUGAAGAAGGCCUUCGGGUUGUAAAGUACUUUCAGUCGGGAGGAAGGUGGUAAGGUUAAUAACCUUAUCAAUUGACGUUACCGACAGAAGAAGCACCGGCUAACUCCGUGCCAGCAGCCGCGGUAAUACGGAGGGUGCAAGCGUUAAUCGGAAUUACUGGGCGUAAAGCGCACGCAGGCGGUUGAUUGAGUCAGAUGUGAAAUCCCCGGGCUUAACCCGGGAAUUGCAUCUGGUACUGGUCAGCUAGAGUCUUGUAGAGGGGGGUAGGAUUCCAUGUGUAGCGGUGAAAUGCGUAGAGAUGUGGAGGAAUACCGGUGGCGAAGGCUGCCCCCUGGACAAAGACUGACGCUCAGGUGCGAAAGCGUGGGGAGCAAACGGG
rnacentral:rRNA from 1 species